CAGUGGCAGUGAGAAAGCGGAGCCUCAGCUCCGGGCUCCCUGCACUGCGCUCUCUCUCCCCAACUUGACAGCUCACAUUCUCCCCCCGAGGCCGAAUCCCCUUUCUCCCGGUGCCUCACCAAUUUCGAUCGACGGCGCAAGGCGGCCGGCCGGAACCCAGUCGAGUCGAGCUCCUCCCGGCGCGGCCUUCAGCAGUGCGCGGCGCUCCAGCUCGUCUUCACCGUCCAGCCCGAAGAACAUACAGGAUCUGAAGUAUCAACCUCUUUAAUAUUCCUUCUCCCGGCAGCGGCGCACUUCGUCGGUUUUGUCCCGCUCGGCACUCUCCUCCCAGGCUCCCACCUAGUGUUUGCCGGUGGAAAACCAAAGAUGAAGCGGAGCAGCCUCGCGUGCGCGGCCAUCGGUCUGCUCGUCGCGUUCGGAUGGCUCGCAGCUGCUGGAGACUGCAGUCUUUCCCUCAAGUUCUGCGUCAUGAGGGAUUGCAAGACCAAAGGUGAGUUCUGGAAGUGGAAACCGGACUGCUUCUGCUGCGUCGUGCAGCCGGGCGUUCCGUGCUGGCACACGGUUAAGGAGUGCCAGGCAAAUUGCCGGGCCUGCAGCCCCAAGUGCUAGCUAGGAGUUACAUGUGUGAUCAUGUGUGUGUCUAUGUCCAAUGUUAGGAAAACCUGAUGCUACGCCCUGUUUGCUGUUGCAACCCCUGUCUACGUGUGGUACUACGCCUGUUUGCUGCUGUACUGAGGUGCGAGGCUGGGUUUUGUGAGUUCCAAUCUGCUUUGGUUUUGCCACACCCAAAGA